rnacentral:lncRNA from 1 species
AGAGCCUGGAUAUCCCAGGCAAGUGAUGAAAAUCCUAACCUUAGCUCCAAUUCCUAUGUGAAUAUUGGUCAGGGUGGGAUCAUUCGCCUGGAAUGGAAGUUGUCUUCAUUUCAGUUCCCCCAGCAGCAGACCUUGGGACAGGAGGUGGGUCCAGAUGGUUUAUUUGGGCAACAAUUGCAGAACGCACCGGUCAGGGGAGCAGGGAGGGGAGGCAGCAGAAAGAAGGAAGCCCAAUACAGAGUGCUACUGAGCACGCUACUACUGUGGGUUUUUCUGAAGCUUAAUCCCAGCUGGGAGCUCUGGGAGGCUAUAAAAUGCAUACCUCAGGAAUUUCGCACCUGAGGAGUGAGGCAGCUGGGGUACUUAUACACUAAUUCUCAUCAGUCAGUGGUUAGGGCUUCUGGAUGGAGUGGGAGGGCAGCACUAGCUUUCUGGCACCUCCAGUCUUCCCCACAGGUGGUAAAACAGUCCCAGUAGCUAGAGAAAACACUCAGACAAAGAGAAGCAGGAGCUGACAGUUGGAAUCAGACAGGAGUACACAGAGGAGAUCCCACCUCUACCUGGCACCAGGUGACAAAAACUGCCCAGGCUAUUUCUUGUUGAAGUACCAAGAUGCCAGGUGACAAAGGGGUCCCUCUCAGCGUCAGCCCACCCCCAGGCUUCUAAUGGGGGUGGGAAUAGAAAGGGCACCAGACGCUUGGCUGCUCACCGUUCAGAGAGAGUGCAUCUCCAGUAAGUCCUCUGCUUUCCUCUUACAAAUUUUUCCCAGCAGAACCAGGCUGCUACACUUUGCAUCUGACCCUGGGGACCAGAGAGCUUCUGGGGCUACAUUUUGGCUCAGACAGGACCCGCUAUAGACAGGUCUCACUGGCUCAAGAGAAGCCAGGCAGCAGCUUUGACCAGCCCUCUGCUGACUAUUCUGCAAAAUAGCAUUCUCCCUGCCCCCUCCCCAUAUUGGCAGAGCCUUUUAACUUCUUCCAAAAAGAAAAAUCCCCUAGAGAAAUGGAAACUGCUGCGCAGUGUGGAAAGGAUGGUCUUUUAAAAAUAUGACGUUAGAGCCCAGGCAGCUAUUUGGGAGGCUGAGGCAGGAGGAUUGCUUGAGCCCAGGGGUUUGAGGCCAGCCUGGGCAACAAGUGAGACCCCCAUCUCUCAAAAAAGAAAAUGGUGUUGGGUUAAUUGGAUAGCCAUAUGCAAAAAUUACAUUUGGCCUCUACCUCACACCAUACACAAAAAUCAAUUUCAGGUGGAUUGUGGAUGGAACUGUGAAACCUAAAGCAAUAAAUCUUUACGCCCCUGAAGAUAGACUAGAAGCUUUUUGCCAGAGUGAUAUCCAAGGUCUGUUUUUCUACCCAUGUGACCAACUUUGGAAUGAAGCAAGCACUGGACAUAUUUGAAAUGGUUCAAAUGGACCCUAAAGUCUCUUUUCACUUCUCUAGGAGAACUUUUCCAAAUAGGAAAAAGUUCACAGUUCACAGUGUCUUUCUACCCGAGGAGAGACUAGGUCUUCAUGGUUAGUGAUUUCCCAAAGCUCUUAACUGCUUAUCCUGGGCCAGCCGCCUUCCCCACCCUGUCCACAGCUCCCUCCUCUGCUACCACCUCAGUGGUAGUAACAACACUCACUGGGUGAUGGAAGGGAAUGGGUCACCUCCUUGGAGCCACCAGCCUAGAAGUUGGCCGUUCACAAGAAGACCUUCACUGUGAGAGUCCUGAUGGGGGCGAGGCAUCGACCACAAAUAUGGACCUAGCAUCCUCUUAUCACUUCUCCCAUGCUCCCCUUCUCUUCACUCUUACUAAGAGGUGUGUGUGUGUGUGUGUGUGUGUGUGUGUCAGGGUUUCACUCUGUCACCCAGGCUGGAGUGCAAUGGCACAAUCAUAGCUCACUCCUGGGUUCAAGCAACCCUCCUGCCUCAGCCACUUGAGUAGUUGGGACUACAGGUACCACACCCAGCUAAUUUUUUAGGGGGUAAGAGAUGGAGGUCUCACUAUAUUGCCCAGACUGGUCUCAAACUCCUGGGUUCAAGUGAUCCUCCUGCCUCAGACUCCCACAGUGCUGGUAUUACAGGCGUAAGCCACCACGCCUGCCUUCAUUAUGAGAUUUUCUUUUUCUUUUCUUUUCUUUUUUUUUUUUUUUUUUUUUGAGACAGGGUCUUGCUCUGUCACCUAGGCUGGAGCGCAGUGGCACAAUCACAGCUCACUGCAGCCUCAGCCUCCUGGCUCAAGUGAUCCUCCCGCUUCAGCCCCCAGAGUAGCUGGGACCACAGUCACGUACCACCACGCUAGGCUAAUUUUUGGGUGUGUGUUUUGUAGAGACAAGUUUCUCCAUGUUGCCCAGGUUGGUCUCAAACUCCUGGGCUCAAAUAAUCCACCUGCCUCAGCCUCCCAAAGUGCUGGGAUUAUAGUUGUGAGCCACACACCCGGCCAUUAGAUUUUUGAUAACCAGAAUGUCUUAAUUGAAUGUAGUCUAAGUUAUUAAUCUUUUCUUUAUGAUUAGCGUUUCUCGUAUGCUUUUAAUUUAUGUAUUAUUUUGCUUCACGCUUCACCUCCCCUUUUGUGUGCUUUUAAACAAAUCUUCUGCCAGGUGCGGUGGCUCACACCUGUAAUCCUAGCACUCUGGGAGGCCAAGGUGGGCGGAUCACCUGAGGUCAGGAGUUCAAGACCAGCCUGGCCAACAUAAUGAAACCCCGUCUACCCCGUCUCUGCUAAAAAUACAAAAAUUAGUCGGGCAUGGUGGCGCAUGCCCGUAGUCCCAGCUACUCAGGAGGCUGAGGCAAGAGAAUCACUUGAACCCAGGAGGCAGAGGUUGCAGUAAGCUGAGAUCACGCCAUAGCCUGGGCAACAGAAUGAGACCCCAUCUCAAAAAAAUUAAUUGAUUAAUUAAAUGAAAUUAAAAUAAAAUAAAUUUUAAAAUCUUCACUUACACCAAAGUCAAGAAGAUAUUUUAGAAUUUUUCUUGUUUGUGGCUUUUAUAUUUAGGUCCACAAUCCAACUAAAAUUUAUUUUUGUGUACAGUGUAAGCUAGAGAUCAAAUUUAAUUUUUUUUCAUAUGGUUAGCCAAUUGGCCCAGCACCAUUUACUGAAAUGAGUAUAUUUUCCCCCACUUCAUUGAAGUGAAAUCUUUGUUAUAAAUCAAAUGUUCAUAUAUGUAUGUGUCUGUCCUGGAUUCUCUAUUCUGAUCCAUUUGUCUUUUUAUCUAGCCUUAUACCCGUGCCACAUUAUCUUAAUAACUUUAGAUUUAUAGUAUGUUUUGCUAUGUAGUAUGUAUGGCAAGUCAUCCAAUUUAAUUCUUCCUUUCAAAUUUUUUUAUUUUUAUUUUUAUUUUUUUAUAGAAAUAGGGCCUCACUAUGUUACCCAGGCUGGUCUUGAACUUCUGGCCUGAAGUGAUCCUCCUGCCUUAGCCUCCCAAAGUGCUCGUAUUACAGGCUUGAACCACUACACCCGGCCUGUUCAACUUAGUUCUUCACAAUUAUGUUGGCUACAUGUGGUCCUUUUCAUUUCAAUACAAAUUUUAUACUCAGUUUAUUAAUUUCUAUUUUUUAAACUGGCAGGCAGAUUGCCUGAGCUCAGGAGUUCAAGACCAGCCUGGGCAACACAGUGAAACCCCAUCUCUACUAAAAUGCAAAAAAUUAGCCAGGCAUGGUGGCAUGCGCCUGUAGUCCCAGCUACUCAGGAGGCUGAGGCAGGAGAAUUUCUUGAACCCUAGAGGCAGAGGUUGCAGUGAGCCAAGAUCACACCACUGCACUAUAGCCUGGGCAACAGAGCAAGACUCCAUCUCCCAAAAAAAAACACAAAAAAACCUGCUGGAUUUUCAUUGGGAUUACAUUAAAUUUACAGACUAAUUAAUGGAGAAUUGAUGUCUUUAAAAUAUUGUGUGUUUCAAUCUAUGAAUAUUGUAUAUCCCUCCAUUUAUUUAGAUCUUUUAAGACUUCUCUUAAUAAUGUUUUAUAGACUUCUGUAUGAAAGUUUUGCACCUAUUUCAUUUAUUUCUAUUUGAUUAUUUUGUGAUAUUAUAAAUAGUAUCAUUUUCUUAAUUUUAUUUGUUGUGAAUAUAUAGAAACAAUGGAUUUUUGUAUAAUUACCUUGUAUCCAGCAAUCUUGCUUAGCCACUUAUCCUUAGAUUAUCUUGAAUUUUCUUAGCUACAUAGUUAUGUCAUCUGCAAAAAAAGGACAGUUUCAUUUCUUCACUUGCAGUCCUUACUUUUUUAUUUUUACUUAUUUUUCUUGCUUAAAUGCACUGGCUGCAACCUCCAAUACAAUGUUGAAUAGAAGUAGUGAGAGUGGACAUCUUUGUUUUGCUCCUGAUUCUGGAGGGCAAACUUUUAAUAUUCCAUCAUUAAGCAUCGUAUUUGGUUUAUAGAUAUCCUUCUAUUCCUAAUUUUCUAAAAAUGUUUAAAAAUUAUAAAUAGAUGCCAAAAUUUGUGAAAUAUUUUUCUUCAUGUAUUAAGUAAUCAAAUUACUUUCUCCAUUAUUUCGUUAAU